UACGUAGGGUGCGAGCGUUGUCCGGAAUUAUUGGGCGUAAAGGGCUCGUAGGCGGUUUGUCGCGUCGGGAGUGAAAACCCAGGGCUUAACUCUGGGCUUGCUUUCGAUACGGGCAGACUAGAGGCAUGCAGGGGAGAACGGAAUUCCUGGUGUAGCGGUGAAAUGCGCAGAUAUCAGGAGGAACACCGGUGGCGAAGGCGGAUCUCUGGGCCGAUACUGACGCUGAGGAGCGAAAGCGUGGGGAGCGAACAGG
rnacentral:rRNA from 1 species